GAAAAAAUAUACCCUCUGAAAAGGAAAAUAUCGUCCCACGUGGGGGACCCGUUUAAUUACAAGUUACGUUGUUUAAAUAUGUGUUUGUUGAGUUAAUUUUUGUUUCUAAACAAUGGUGCAGGCAAUCGAUGAAAUGGAGCAGAGGGAUCUGCCUCAGGCAUUCCGAUUGCUAGGAGAGAUGAAUGCCAACGUUGUCCAGGUUAAUCAACUUGUUGACAAUAUGUUAACAAAAGUGAAAAAUGGAGAAGUGUCAACGGACAAGGGUCUAAGCUUUUUGGAAAUGAAGUAUCACAUGCUUCUUUCUUAUCUUAUUAAUUUGACUUAUGUAGUAUUGAGGAAAUGCUCUGGAGAGCGCAUCGAAGGAGAUCCUUCGAUAGAUCGACUCGUCGAGAUAAGAACUGUUCUCGAAAAAAUCAGGCCCAUAGAUCAAAAGCUCAAGUAUCAAAUAGACAAACUAGUAAAGACCGCCGUCACUGGAACUACCGGCAAUAACGAUCCUAGCAAUUUCAAAGCCAAUCCAGACGCGCUUAUGGGUAAAUUGGAUGGUAGCGAGGAUGAGUCUAACAGCGAAGAAGAUGACGAUGAUGCAGCCAACAAAUCAAAACAGUCUAGGAAAUCUGGGGUUUACGUACCACCAAAAUUGGCAGCCGUUCACUAUGACGGGGACGAGACGAUGGCUGAAAAAAUGCGCAAGGCGGGCGAGAGAGCACGCAGGCGUGCAGUAUCCGGUGCGGUAUUGCGCGAACUGAGGGAGGAAUAUUUAGACGCACCAAUCGAGGAUACGCAGGGUAUAGGAGAUAAACAAGCGAGUUUGGGACGUGAGAACAAGCGAAAGAUCGAAUAUGAAGAGAACUACAUGACGCGUUUGCCAGUUACGAAACAGGAGAAACAUCGAAGUCGUCAAAUUACAACGCUGGGCACACUUGGCGACGAAAUAACAACGUUCUCCGGACCUGCCGCAGUCUCUGGUAAAAAGAGAAAAACUUCCAAGGGAAAAGCCAAAAAGAGUUUCAAGAAGAAACGACACCACUAAGCAAUAAGUGGUGUUUUUAUUUGUCCCUCGGACUCGACGAGCUUGAGGAUCUCCACACCAGUUAAUUCAUAAGUAUUAAAGGUACACACAGCUGUCGAGGAUAAUGCGAAAACAGGAAGAGAAGAAUAUGAAAAUAAUAAUGAAAUGAAACACUCGCAUACACACACACACACACCAUCGCGGUAAUUUAUUAUUGUAUAAGGCAUCAUAAUGGUCGUCGUAAUUGAUAACUAUAGUUACUAAUGGUUUUAAUCUUCAACCGUUGUCUGAAACAAAUUUUUAACUACGGAUCCGUAUUAGUUGGCAAACAAUCAAGAAACUUGAAGCAAACGGGUGGGGCGGGGGAGGGGGGGGGGGGCUAGUAUGGGUUGAAGAUAAAAGAAAAAGGGUCGAGAUUGCAAAUAAAAAGAAAUUGGAAAUUAUGAUAACAAAUAUGAGAAACGUGUAGCGAAUAUUCGCGAGCUUGCCUUUGUCUGCGAAAAAAGAGUAACGUCCGAAUUGGGAGCACAAAUUAAACGAAUAAAGAAGAAGAAGAAGAAGAAGAAGACGAAAAAAUAAAUAAAAAAAAAAAAAAACAAAUAGAAAUUAAACUCCCGCGCCAAGAGAUCUUAAAGCAUAAGAAUAAUUUAACAAACAAAAGUGGAUUCGUCUGCUUUAUUUUGAGAUAAAAAAAACUCCAGUUGUAGAAUGAGAAAAGAGAAAGAAAGGAAGAAAGAGACAAAACAAAAAACGAUAAAACUGAUUACAUUUUAGCGGGAGAGACGGAUGAUAUUGGAUUAAUUGUUACGGGGAGCGUAAAAAUCACAAGACAUUCAAAAACGAAAAACAUACAGAUCAAAAAAAGUAUGAAACAAAGAAAACAAAUAAAGACAAAAAUACAGGAAGCUCGUACUCGACACAGCAAACAACAAAAAAGUAAUCUAAAAAAUACAUACAUAAAUAAAAAUUUAGCGUUUCGAAGUUACACGAAGUUAAAAUACUUCUCGAAUGGUCAGAAAUUCAUUUUUGGCAACCGCAUGUCUUAGGAUUUUUCUCGCUGUUUGUAGAAUAGGAAGACAAAAGAAAAAAAAAUCGGAAAAAUAAGUAAAAAAAAGAAAAAGAAAAAAAAAACAAGCAAAAAAAAAAAUAAGCACAAAAAUACUUGUAGGUAAUAGUUUUACGAAUUUAAACUCGUAUUCUUAUUAUGUUCGUGGAUUUUUUUCGUCGAUUCCUGGUGAAAUGUUGAGGCUAUUGCAUUUCGGUGUCGUUCAUUUAUGAAUAUAUCUUGCGUUAAGUUUUUAUUUAAAGCGCGCGAUGGCGUUCGCGAAUGCGCGCGCGCGCGUCUUUAUAAUCGUUGUUUUAACAUUAUACGAGGGAAAAAGAAGCUCCAUUGUUUAUAUUGAUGGUAAUAUAAGGAUAAAGUGGACGUGUCAAAAUUCAAAAUUGAGGUAUAAAGAGAAGCAAAACGAAAAUCCAAUUACUCAAGUACUGUUUUACGUUCAAACGCGUUUUUGGUUUCCUCGAGAACGUGACGCGCGCACUGACAUCAAGAAACGAAUGAUAUUUAUCGCCGUGAAUAUGAGACAGAGAGCCUCGAGAAUCGAUUCUGUCCGGAGUCAAGCGAGACAGCAAUUAUACCGUGAAACAUAAUUUUUUGGAAUCCUCGUAGUGUGCAGAACAGGUUGAAAAAAAAGAAACAAUAUGAAAAUAGAAAAUGAAAGUCAAAACUACCCCUCGAAAACUCCACUGCAAAACAUUAAAACGGUAAGGGUGGGGCACCGUCAAAGAGAAAAAAAAAAAACAAAACGAGCAGCAACAUUAAAGGCGAAAACGUUUCAGAAGAGAUUCGCGAAAUAACAAACGAUCCAAGCAAAUACCAUGUGUUUCUUGACCGCGCCUGAGGGCUCAAAACAUCCAUAUAGAAUUUAUAUUUUUUACAGAAGUGUUCACCGAUUGAGCCCGAUGUUUGUGCGGUCGCGAUGUCACGCGCGUCUCGUUCUUUCCGAUCUGUGAAAGACGAUUAAAAUGUGAUAAAAAUAAUAAAAAAAAAAAAAAAAAAAAAAAAAAAAAUAAUAAUUCUUGAAAGAAUAGCGGGGGGAAAAACAAUUAAAAUGAAGAAGAAGAAGAAGAAGGAAAAAAACAAAUACGAACGAAUGAGACUACAGAAAAGAAGAAAAAAAAAUAGCACAAUUGCUGGGCAUUAUUUACAAGUGCUAGCACACGAGCCUAAAACUGUCAGCAGCGGAUAGUCUCUCGGCCGUUUUGGCAAACGAAGUUGCGUACGUAGGCGUGUGAGCUCCAAUAUGUACCGGGUGAUAAAGCAGGAAGAUUAAGUAAUGACUUUCUCAUUUCGAAGUAUUACGAACUCCUCGUUUAUCUUUCGGUAUAACGAAAAACAAGCAAAAAAAAAAAACCGAGAAAAAACAAAACGAAGAUGAGCUACGAACGCGUACUGUUUAAACUUCUUGCCUAGACGAUAAUAAUUUUUUGACGCCCUCUACAAUGAGACUAAUGCAAAACUACGAGUCCAAAUUCCUUUUUCCAAAUGGACAGGGUUUUUUCGUAUUAGCGCCCAAGAGUGUGCGCGACAUAAACAAUGAGAUAUUUUACAACAGGAUUGUAUUGUUCCACAAAAAAAGAAGAUGAAAAAUAAGAAGAAGACGAAGAAGAAUAAUAAACAAAUAUUGCGUCCGUUUAGGCGCGUAAAAACUUUUUAUUAAAAAUACUGUGUACAUUAGCUAUGUCUGUAUUGGUUCGAUGAAGGAAUGAAUUGCAUUUAACAAGUAUAUUUUCGAUGCAUUGGACUUGUAGAAAAAGAAAAGCAGAAAGAACGAGAGAGAGAGAGAGAAAAAGUAUGAAAAUGAAAAAGAAGUAAGGUCGAAGCUGGACAAAAAUGGGCGUAAAAAGUAAUAUUCAUUGGAACACACACAUAUCUGCAACACAGCAUAUAUAGCAGCAACAAAAUAAUAGGGUUAUACAUUGAAUUCACUACCUCAAGACAAUAGACUAUUGGUAAAACAGUAAUAAGGCCUGACGACAAAAAGACUUGUUUACAUCGUUUGAUUAUUGCCAAAUAAUAAGUAAAAAAAUGAAUGAAUUAUCAAAGUUAUAAAUAUAUAUUGCAUAUAUGUAAACAGAUAUAUCGUUUACAGCUCCGAAGAUACAAAACGAACAAACAAAUCUCAUACUACUAGUUGUUUACUACUGUAUUGUGCCAAAAAAGCACGAUCGCGACUCGGGCCUUUUGCCACUUGGGUAAAAAGCGUCACUGUUCCUUCGUGAUUAUUCCUAGCCGCUAUUAUUAUGAGACUUAAUGAAAAAAAUGAUGAAAUCGUUGUACGAAUCAUACUAAUAUGCGUUAUUGUAAACGAUGUAAACAUAGUCGUACACGCAAGAAUGAGCUGAGAAAGAGAAAACGGGGUGAUCGGGAAAUAUAAUAAAGAAAAAAAACGAAACGAGUAAAAGUGAGGUUACAAAACUUGUCCUACAAAUCCAAAUGUGCUGCCGGGCUAACGCGAUGAUGUAUCUUUGCAGCAACAACAAAAACUGACAAAAUAGGAAUAAUUUAUCAACUACAUUAAUGGAGUUAUAUAUAUAUACAUAUGUAAAUAAUACAUAUAUAUGUAUAUACUCCCGCUGAGGAAUAUAAAACAAUUUUAUAAGUUUGGUUAUUCGAUGAUGUUUUUUUAUCAUUUUUAUUUUAAUAUGGCAGGUGAGCGUACGAAAGAGAGGGGGAGAGAGUCUACCUGUAAUUUACAAAUGGUUAUUACGAAUGAAUUUCUAUUAUUAUUAUUAUUAUUGUCAUUAUUAUUGAUAUUAUGUAGAAGGCUUCUUACUGACUGAAUAAAAUGUUUUCAAUGUCGACUAA
rnacentral:misc_RNA from 1 species